CUCUUGUGAGUUGGCAUUUACCUUUCCAAAGUUGCACUACACCCACUACAUAUCUCCAAUAAACUUCAAAAGAAUUAAUUAAUCUAGUGUUUCCUGAUCCGACAAUACAUUUUUACGUAGUUUAGUGUCUACAAUAAUAUUUCUCCUAUCAGUCAACCAACAAAAAUAAUAUUCCUCAUUUUUAAAUCCAGAGAAAUUACAUGUACGAGCAUGAGACAAUUAACAACCGCAGUCAAAACCCAUCUGUUGGGUUUUUCAACAUCGGUCUUAAAUCUGAUUUCAUUGUUUUUUUUUCGAACAUCGGCUUAAAACUCCAAGUAGGCUUCUCUAAGAUUUUCUUCUCUUUUUUUAUACUAGAAAGUUCAGGUCGAAGCCCGUAAUUCCCCCU
rnacentral:lncRNA from 1 species